UGAGCUAGCAGAAGGAUCAUUAUCGUACAACCGAGGUGCGAGGGCUGUCGCUGACCUUCAAAGGUCGUGCACGCCCGAGCGCUCUCACACAAAUCCAUCUCACACCCCUUUGUGCAUCACCGCGAGGGUCCCAGUGGCUGUAACGGCCCCAAGGUGGGAAUGCGAGGCGAUGUUUUCCUCAACGGAGUCCCGUGCUCGUGCGCCGAGUUCAAGGCUGUCCCCUCCAGAAAACUUUGGUGUCCAUCGUCCCCCACGGCGUAGGCCAUGGUCGGAUUUGGAGUAAUCGGCCCUUGUCUAGCCAGGGAAGCAAUUCCGCAGCUAGCAGGACUCACCGAGUUGGUCUUAGGAGAUCAGGGCACGUCAUCUGUCGCGCGGGUGCGCCGUGUCCCUCGUAGACCUUUAUACCUCGCGUUUUCACACAAACCUCUGAUACAGUGUAGAAUGUUAUUUUACCUUUUGCGGUCACACGCAAUCAAUACAACUUUCAACAACGGAUCUCUUGGCUCUCGCAUCGAUGAAGAACGCAGCGAAAUGCGAUAAGUAAUGUGAAUUGCAGAAUUCAGUGAAUCAUCGAAUCUUUGAACGCACAUUGCGCCCGCUGGCAUUCCGGCGGGCAUGCCCGUUCGAGCGUCAUUUUAAUUCCUUCCCAGGGAUGGAGCUUCUGUUUCUACAGAGGUUUCUACCAGGGGUGUUGGCACCUGGCGCCGCCUAGGCGACCGGAGCCCAAAUGCAGUGGCGGACGCGCAAGCGGCUCCUAGCGCAGUAGAAAACAAACUUCGCUCAGAGGCUCGCAGCAGCGGACUAUAGCCCCAACGCAAAGUUUUUUUUGCAACAAAAACUUGACCUCGGAUCGGGUAGGACUACCCGCUGAACUUAAGCAUCA
rnacentral:rRNA from 1 species